GCCUUCAAAGCAUUGCUGGCGAUGCACUGGAUUUGUAACCCAGUGAAUUCGGUUCGAUUCCGGAUGAGGGCACCA
rnacentral:tRNA from 1 species